rnacentral:rRNA from 1 species
GUAGUCUCGCACAGAUGCAUAUCAAUAAGCGGAGGAAAAGAAACUAACAAGGAUUCCCUUAGUAGCGGCGAGUGAAGCGGGAAGAGCUCAAAUUUGAAAUCUUCAAGGUUUUACCUUGACGAAUUGUAGUUUAAAGAAGUGUUUUCUGUUGAAGUUUUGGUAAAAGUUCUUUGGAAUAGGACAUCAUAGAGGGUGAGAAUCCCGUAUUUGACCAUUAUUUUCAGCUGUGUGAUACACUUUCAAAGAGUCGGAUUGUUUGGGAAUGCAGUCCAAAAUGGGUGGUAAAUUUCAUCUAAAGCUAAAUAUUGGCGAGAGACCGAUAGCGAACAAGUACCGUGAGGGAAAGAUGAAAAGAACUUUGAAAAGAGAGUUAAACAGUACGUGAAAUUGUCAAAAGGGAAGCGUUCGACACCAGGUGUUGUUUUUCUGAAAAUCAAUUAAAGAACUGUUUAUGCUAAGCUGUUUAGACUUUAUCAGCUAAUCUGUUUAGUUUUGAGCUUUUCUUUAAUGCACUUUUCAGUUAACAAGUCAACAUCAAUUUCUUUUGCUGUAAAAAAGCUUGAGGAAGGUGGCUUGAGAUUCGUCUUAAGUGUUUAUAGCCUCUUGCCUAUGCAGUCGGAGAGAUUGAGGUCUGCAGCGUAGAUCCUUCAGGGCUAAAUGCAUUUGUGCUAAGUUAUAGCAUUUUAUAGACAACUUGUUGACUAUGAUUUGUCUUGUAGCUUACUCGCUUAUGUUAUUUUACCUACGCUUAGGAUGUUGAGCGCAUGUCUCUCUCU